UGCCUCAGUAACGGCGAGUGAAGCGGCAACAGCUCAAAUUUGAAAUCUGGCCUCACGGUCCGAGUUGUAAUUUGCAGAGGAUGUCUCGGGCGCGAUACCGGUCUAAGUUCCUUGGAACAGGACGUCACAGAGGGUGAGAAUCCCGUACGUGACCGGUGGUUAACCCCAUGUGAGGCUCCUUCGACGAGUCGAGUUGUUUGGGAAUGCAGCUCUAAAUGGGUGGUAAAUUUCAUCUAAAGCUAAAUAUUGGCCAGAGACCGAUAGCGCACAAGUAGAGUGAUCGAAAGAUGAAAAGCACUUUGGAAAGAGAGUUAAAAAGUACGUGAAAUUGUUGAAAGGGAAGCGCUUGCAACCAGACUUGCCCGCGGGUGAUCAACCGUCCUUCGGGGCGGUGCACUCGCCCGUGAUCAGGCCAGUAUCGGUUUCAGCAGCCGGACAAAGACUUCGGGAACGUAGCUCCUCUCGGGGAGUGUUAUAGCCCGUCGUGUAAUACGGUUAGUUGGGACCGAGGACCGCGCUUCGGCUAGGAUACUGGCGUAAUGGUUGUCAGCGACCCGUCUUGAAACACGGACCAAGGAGUCUACCAUCUAUGCGAGUGUUUGGGUGUUAAACCCAUGCGCGUAAUGAAAGUGAACGGAGGUGGGAACCCUUCGGGGGGCACCAUCGACCGAUCCUGAUGUCUUCGGAUGGAUUUGAGUACGAGCAUAGCUGGUGGGACCCGAAAGAUGGUGAACUAUGCGUGAAUAGGGUGAAGCCAGAGGAAACUCUGGUGGAGGCUCGCAGCGGUUCUGACGUGCAAAUCGAUCGUCAAAUUUGCGUAUAGGGGCGAAAGACUAAUCGAACCAUUAUUCCUCGCGACUAGGUGGUUAAUCAAAGAUAUGCGAAAGCGUAUCGUGAGUUCGCUUCGGCGGACGAUACCGUCAAUGUGUGGAUUAUAGGACCCGGUAGGGNCCCGUAAAACACGCAGCACCCCGGGGUGACCCCGGGCUG
rnacentral:rRNA from 1 species